rnacentral:lncRNA from 1 species
UCGCCCAUUUCUUUGUCUCUUGUAGGAUUUUGCGGAGCCACUCGACAGAUGAGAAUCUCAUUUCGAGGCUCCUCAGAAGGCGAACUGCACCCCCUCCCUCAAGCCUCUUCUCCAGUCUCAUGGUUUUCAUGACCACUAGGGGAAGACGACGAAUUCCAAGGUGCUGUUGUAGGCAUGCAGUGGUAUGGUGUACAGAAUGGGACACAGGUACAUGCCUGGGAAGGUGGCCAGUUAAAGCCCCUGAGGUGAAACCUGAAUGAUGUGAAGAGGUCAUGUGGAGUGAGAACAUUCUACUGAGACAGAGGUAACAGCCAGUGCAAAGGCCCUGGGGCAGAAUGAAGGCCUGAUAUGUUCGACAGGUUUAUAGUUUGUGGCUCUAUGUAGAGCAAAUUACAAGGGCUCAAGCGUGGACGUUGGGAGACUGGUUAGGUUAUUGCUAAGGUCCAGGCCAGUAAGGAUAAUUGCUGGGUGAAUUACAUCAGCUCCCUGAAUCUCAGGUUCCUCACAGGGUGAAGAUAACAACAGUACUUACCUCACAGCGUGGUUGUGAAGAUUAAAUGAGUAAAUAAGAAAUGGUAAGUAUUAGAAUUAAUACCAAGAGUAAUAAUCAUAGCAUGAGGGCUUCCAGAGCUAGGCCCUCACAGGAGGGCUAAACCUUUAAUUAAAGCAAGACUUUUCCAUUCAGCAGGUCCAGGGAUGCUUCCAGUCAGUUAGGAAUUACAUGCCUCCUGCCCCUCCCGGACCACCUAUCCUGGGUUCAGUGCAAGGAAGGGGGACAGUGAGGCGGCCUUGGAGGGAAGGAGAAAGCUGAGCAUCUAGCCCUCCAUUUGUUUCUGGGCGAGACCCAGGAGAAGUUCGGCCCUGGUUGGGGAAGCCUUCUGAGUUGGAACAGGGGCUUGAGGAAGCACGCGGAUGAGCCAGCAGGGGCGCCAGCCAGGCUGAGAAGGCCAGGGGGCCCGCCCUUCUUUCUGACUUUCCCAAACCCAUGCCAGGGAGUGGGGCCGGGGGAGGGUGUGGGCUCAUUCCCU